AAGCUCGUGAAAAGGGCACAGUCUCAACAAAUCCUUAUAACGCUCUCAUGCGUCAAACAAAGAUUCCCCUUCUUCCUGCCUAAACCUAUUAAUCUGAUUCAUAACUU